AGAGUUUGAUCAUGGCUCAGGAUGAACGCUAGCUACAGGCUUAACACAUGCAAGUCGAGGGGAAGCGACAUCGAAAGCUUGCUUUUGAUGGGCGUCGACCGGCGCACGGGUGAGUAACGCGUAUCCAACCUGCCCACCACUUGGGGAUAACCUUGCGAAAGUAAGACUAAUACCCAAUGACGUCUCUAGAAGACAUCUGAAAGAGAUUAAAGAUUUAUCGGUGAUGGAUGGGGAUGCGUCUGAUUAGCUUGUUGGCGGGGUAACGGCCCACAAGGCGACGAUCAGUAGGGGUUCUGAGAGGAGGUCCCCCANAUUGGAACUGAGACACGGUCCAAACUCCUACGGGAGGCA
rnacentral:rRNA from 1 species